rnacentral:rRNA from 1 species
GGAGGAAAGCAGGGGAUCGCAAGACCUUGCGCUCAUUGAGCGGCCGAUGCCUGAUUAGCUAGUUGGUGAGGUAAAGGCUUACCAAGGCGACGAUCAGUAGCUGGUCUGAGAGGACGACCAACCACACUGGGACUGAGACACGGCCCAGACUCCUACGGGAGGCAGCAGUGGGGAAUUUUGGACAAUGGGGGAAACCCUGAUCCAGCCAUGCCGCGUGAGUGAAGAAGGCCUUCGGGUUGUAAAGCUCUUUCAGCCGGAACGAAACGGUCACGGCUAAUACCUGUGACUACUGACGGUACCGGAAGAAGAAGCACCGGCUAACUACGUGCCAGCAGCCGCGGUAAUACGUAGGGUGCGAGCGUUAAUCGGAAU